rnacentral:SRP_RNA from 1 species
UGUUGGUUCUCCCGCAACGCUACUCUGUUUACCAGGUCAGGUCCGGAAGGAAGCAGCCAAGGCAGAUGACGCGU